AUUGAACGCUGGCGGCAGGCUUAACACAUGCAAGUCGAACGGUAACAGGAAGAAAGCUUGCUUUCUUUGCUGACGAGUGGCGGACGGGUGAGUAAUGCUUGGGAAUCUGUUUCAUGGAGGGGGAUAACUACGGGAAACUGUAGCUAAUACCGCGUAAUAUCGAGAGAUUAAAUGUGUGGGACCGCAAGGCCACAUGCCAUGAAGUGAGCCCAAGUGGGAUUAGAUAGUUGGUGAGGUAAUGGCUCACCAAGUCGGCGAUCUCUAGCUGGUCUGAGAGGAUGACCAGCCACACUGGGACUGAGACACGGCCCAGACUCCUACGGGAGGCAGCAGUGGGGAAUAUUGCACAAUGGGCGCAAGCCUGAUGCAGCCAUGCCGCGUGAAUGAAGAAGGCCUUCGGGUUGUAAAGUUCUUUCGGUGGUGAGGAAGGUUGGCGUGUUAAUAGCACGUUGAUUUGACGUUAGCCACAGAAGAAGCACCGGCUAACUCCGUGCCAGCAGCCGCGGUAAUACGGAGGGUGCGAGCGUUAAUCGGAAUAACUGGGCGUAAAGGGCACGCAGGCGGUGACUUAAGUGAGGUGUGAAAGCCCUGGGCUUAACCUAGGAAUUGCAUUUCAUACUGGGUCGCUAGAGUAUUUUAGGGAGGGGUAGAAUUCCACGUGUAGCGGUGAAAUGCGUAGAGAUGUGGAGGAAUACCGAAGGCGAAGGCAGCCCCUUGGGAAUAUACUGACGCUCAUGUGCGAAAGCGUGGGGAGCAAACAGG
rnacentral:rRNA from 1 species